GGGAGGGUAUGGGGCCCGGUGGCUCUCGCGGUCUUCAAAACCGUUGGGAGGCGCCCUGCGGUGUCUCCGGUGGGUUCGACUCCCUCCCCCUCCCGCCA
rnacentral:tRNA from 1 species